UACGUAGGGUGCAAGCGUUGUCCGGAAUUAUUGGGCGUAAAGAGCUCGUAGGCGGUUUGUCGCGUCUGCUGUGAAAACCCGAGGCUCAACCUCGGGCCUGCAGUGGGUACGGGCAGACUAGAGUGCGGUAGGGGAGAUUGGAAUUCCUGGCGUAGCGGUGGAAUGCGCAGAUAUCAGGAGGAACACCGAUGGCGAAGGCAGAUCUCUGGGCCGUAACUGACGCUGAGGAGCGAAAGCGUGGGGAGCGAACAGG
rnacentral:rRNA from 1 species